rnacentral:rRNA from 1 species
GGCGGCGUGCUUAACACAUGCAAGUCGAACGAGGUCCAACCUUCGGGUGAAGACCGAGUGGCGAACGGGUGAGUAACACGUGGGGAACCUGCCCUUCUCUCUGGGAUAACUCCGGGAAACCGGAGCUAAUACCGGAUACUCCUUGCGGACCGCAUGGUCUGCUCGGGAAAGCUCCGGCGGAGAAGGAUGGCCCCGCGGCCCAUUAGCUUGUUGGUGGGGUAACGGCCCACCAAGGCGACGAUGGGUAGCCGAGCUGAGAGGCUGAUCGGCCACACUGGGACUGAGACACGGCCCAGACUCCUACGGGAGGCAGCAGUGGGGAAUCUUGCGCAAUGGGCGAAAGCCUGACGCAGCAACGCCGCGUGCGGGAUGAAGGCUCUCGGGUCGUAAACCGCUUUCAGCAGGGAUGAAAAUGACAGUACCUGCAGAAGAAGCCCCGGCUAAAUACGUGCCAGCAGCCGCGGUAAUACGUAUGGGGCAAGCGUUAUCCGGAUUCAUUGGGCGUAAAGCGCGCGUAGGCGGCUUGUUAAGUCAGGCGUGAAAUCCGGGGGCUCAACCCGCGGCUUGCGUCUGAAACUGGCAGGCUUGAGUCUGGUAGAGGAAAGUGGAAUUCCUGGUGUAGCGGUGAAAUGCGCAGAUAUCAGGAGGAACACCAGUGGCGAAGGCGGCUUUCUGGGCCACGACUGACGCUGAGGCGCGAAAGCUAGGGGAGCGAACAGGAUUAGAUACCCUGGUAGUCCUAGCCGUAAACGAUGGGCACUAGGUGUGGGGGGUCAUCGACUCCCUCCGUGCCGAAGCUAACGCAUUAAGUGCCCCGCCUGGGGAGUACGGCCGCAAGGCUAAAACUCNA